UCAACAAGCACUGAGGCUACUUCAAAGUCACAUAGGUCACCCUUUUGCCCAAACCCAGAACAUUCUUGCUAGGCUGGUGCUAAGAUUUAAGUAGAAUGCAGCAGUCCUGAGAUUUCUUUUUGCCUCUAAAGAAUUGGACGACUGUGUGUUUCCUGAGAUCAUCUGGGAGGCUAAUUGUAUAGAGACCUGUGGUCUCUAAAUCACGUUCUGCUUCCUGGUGCCCAGAACGGCCCAUCGGGGCCCUUCGUGCUGAGCAGAUUAAACAUGAAGACGGGUAUAAAGACCCUGUGGGCCCAGGAGGUGAUAGACAUCAUAGAGAAGUACCAGCAGGGACACCAAGCUGGGACACUGGUGAAAAACUGGGAUGAGGAGUUCAAAAUCUACAGACGCAUCGACCGGCUCGGGUUGCUGCAGUGAG